rnacentral:rRNA from 1 species
GACGAACGCUGGCGGCGUGCUUAACACAUGCAAGUCGAACGGAAAGGCCCUGCUUUUGUGGGGUGCUCGAGUGGCGAACGGGUGAGUAACACGUGAGUAACCUGCCCUUGACUUUGGGAUAACUUCAGGAAACUGGGGCUAAUACCGGAUAGGAGCUCCUGCUGCAUGGUGGGGGUUGGAAAGUUUCGGCGGUUGGGGAUGGACUCGCGGCUUAUCAGCUUGUUGGUGGGGUAGUGGCUUACCAAGGCUUUGACGGGUAGCCGGCCUGAGAGGGUGACCGGCCACAUUGGGACUGAGAUACGUCCCAGACUCCUACGGGAGGCAGCAGUGGGGAAUAUUGCACAAUGGGCGGAAGCCUGAUGCAGCAACGCCGCGUGCGGGAUGACGGCCUUCGGGUUGUAAACCGCUUUCGCCUGUGACGAAGCGUGAGUGACGGUAAUGGGUAGAGAAGCACCGGCUAACUACGUG